rnacentral:tRNA from 1 species
GGCUCGUUGGUAUAAAGGCAUGAUUGUUGCUUAGGGUGCAAGAGGUUCUGGGUUCAACUCCCAGAUGAGCCC